UGUGUAGGAUAGGUGGGAGACUUUGAAGCAGCGACGCUAGUUGUUGUGGAGUCAACCUUGAAAUACCACCCUUGUAGUUUUGAUGUUCUAACGUUGGCCCCUGAAUCGGGGUUACGGACAGUGCCUGGUGGGUAGUUUGACUGGGGCGGUCUCCUCCUAAAGAGUAACGGAGGAGCACGAAGGUUGGCUAAGUACGGUCGGACAUCGUACGGUUAGUGUAAUGGUAGAAGCCAGCUUAACUGCGAGACCGACACGUCGAGCAGGUACGAAAGUAGGUCUUAGUGAUCCGGUGGUUCUGUAUGGAAGGGCCAUCGCUCAACGGAUAAAAGGUACUCUGGGGAUAACAGGCUGAUACCGCCCAAGAGUUCAUAUCGACGGCGGUGUUUGGCACCUCGAUGUCGGCUCAUCACAUCCUGGGGCUGAAGUCGGUCCCAAGGGUAUGGCUGUUCGCCAUUUAAAGUGGUACGCGAGCUGGGUUUAGAACGUCGUGAGACAGUUCGGUCCCCA
rnacentral:rRNA from 1 species